rnacentral:rRNA from 1 species
GGGUUGUGAGGUUAAGCGACUAAGCGUACACGGUGGAUGCCCUGGCAGUCAGAGGCGAUGAAGGACGUGCUAAUCUGCGAAAAGCGCCGGCGAGGUGAUAUGAACCCUUGACCCGGCGAUGUCCGAAUGGGGAAACCCAGUGUGAUUCGUCACACUAUCGUUAACUGAAUACAUAGGUUAACGAGGCGAACCGGGGGAACUGAAACAUCUAAGUACCCCGAGGAAAAGAAAUCAACCGAGAUUCCCCCAGUAGCGGCGAGCGAACGGGGAGCAGCCCAGAGUCUGAAUCAGCUUGUGUGUUAGUGGAACGGUCUGGAAAGUCCGGCGAUACAGGGUGACAGUCCCGUACACGAAAAUGCACAGGUUGUGAACUCGAAGAGUAGGGCGGGACACGUGGUAUCCUGUCUGAAUAUGGGGGGACCAUCCUCCAAGGCUAAAUACUCCUGACUGACCGAUAGUGAACCAGUACCGUGAGGGAAAGGCGAAAAGAACCCCGGCGAGGGGAGUGAAAAAGAACCUGAAACCGUGUACGUACAAGCAGUGGGAGCACCUUCGGGUGUGACUGCGUACCUUUUGUAUAAUGGGUCAGCGACUUAUAUUCUGUAGCAAGGUUAACCGUAUAGGGGAGCCGAAGGGAAACCGAGUCUUAACUGGGCGUUAAGUUGCAGGGUAUAGACCCGAAACCCGGUGAUCUAGCCAUGGGCAGGUUGAAGGUUGGGUAACACUAACUGGAGGACCGAACCGACUAAUGUUGAAAAAUUAGCGGAUGACUUGUGGCUGGGGGUGAAAGGCCAAUCAAACCGGGAGAUAGCUGGUUCUCCCCGAAAGCUAUUUAGGUAGCGCCUCGUGAACUCAUCUUCGGGGGUAGAGCACUGUUUCGGCUAGGGGGCCAUCCCGGCUUACCAACCCGAUGCAAACUACGAAUACCGAAGAAUGUUAUCACGGGAGACACACGGCGGGUGCUAACGUCCGUCGUGAAGAGGGAAACAACCCAGACCGCCAGCUAAGGUCCCAAAGUCAUGGUUAAGUGGGAAACGAUGUGGGAAGGCCCAGACAGCCAGGAUGUUGGCUUAGAAGCAGCCAUCAUUUAAAGAAAGCGUAAUAGCUCACUGGUCGAGUCGGCCUGCGCGGAAGAUGUAACGGGGCUAAACCAUGCACCGAAGCUGCGGCAGCGACACUAUGUGUUGUUGGGUAGGGGAGCGUUCUGUAAGCCGUUGAAGGUGGCCUGUGAGGGUUGCUGGAGGUAUCAGAAGUGCGAAUGCUGACAUAAGUAACGAUAAAGCGGGUGAAAAGCCCGCUCGCCGGAAGACCAAGGGUUCCUGUCCAACGUUAAUCGGGGCAGGGUGAGUCGACCCCUAAGGCGAGGCCGAAAGGCGUAGUCGAUGGGAAACAGGUUAAUAUUCCUGUACUUGGUGUUACUGCGAAGGGGGGACGGAGAAGGCUAUGUUAGCCGGGCGACGGUUGUCCCGGUUUAAGCAUGUAGGCGGAGGUUCCAGGUAAAUCCGGUGCCUUUUUAACGCUGAGGUGUGAUGACGAGGCACUACGGUGCUGAAGUAACAAAUGCCCUGCUUCCAGGAAAAGCCUCUAAGCAUCAGGUAACACGAAAUCGUACCCCAAACCGACACAGGUGGUCAGGUAGAGAAUACCAAGGCGCUUGAGAGAACUCGGGUGAAGGAACUAGGCAAAAUGGUGCCGUAACUUCGGGAGAAGGCACGCUGAUAUGUAGGUGAAGCCCCUGCGGGUGGAGCUGAAAUCAGUCGAAGAUACCAGCUGGCUGCAACUGUUUAUUAAAAACACAGCACUGUGCAAACACGAAAGUGGACGUAUACGGUGUGACGCCUGCCCGGUGCCGGAAGGUUAAUUGAUGGGGUUAGCGGCAACGCGAAGCUCUUGAUCGAAGCCCCGGUAAACGGCGGCCGUAACUAUAACGGUCCUAAGGUAGCGAAAUUCCUUGUCGGGUAAGUUCCGACCUGCACGAAUGGCGUAAUGAUGGCCAGGCUGUCUCCACCCGAGACUCAGUGAAAUUGAACUCGCUGUGAAGAUGCAGUGUACCCGCGGCAAGACGGAAAGACCCCGUGAACCUUUACUAUAGCUUGACACUGAACACUGGUCCUUGAUGUGUAGGAUAGGUGGGAGGCUUUGAAGCGUGGACGCCAGUCUGCGUGGAGCCAACCUUGAAAUACCACCCUUUAAUGGCUGGUGUUCUAACGUAGACCCGUGAUCCGGGUUGCGGACAGUGUCUGGUGGGUAGUUUGACUGGGGCGGUCUCCUCCCAAAGAGUAACGGAGGAGCACGAAGGUUAGCUAAUCCUGGUCGGACAUCAGGAGGUUAGUGCAAUGGCAUAAGCUAGCUUGACUGCGAGAGUGACGGCUCGAGCAGGUGCGAAAGCAGGUCAUAGUGAUCCGGUGGUUCUGAAUGGAAGGGCCAUCGCUCAACGGAUAAAAGGUACUCCGGGGAUAACAGGCUGAUACCGCCCAAGAGUUCAUAUCGACGGCGGUGUUUGGCACCUCGAUGUCGGCUCAUCACAUCCUGGGGCUGAAGUAGGUCCCAAGGGUAUGGCUGUUCGCCAUUUAAAGUGGUACGCGAGCUGGGUUUAGAACGUCGUGAGACAGUUCGGUCCCUAUCUGCCGUGGGCGCUGGAGAAUUGAGGGGGGCUGCUCCUAGUACGAGAGGACCGGAGUGGACGCAUCACUGGUGUUCGGGUUGUCAUGCCAAUGGCACUGCCCGGUAGCUAAAUGCGGAAGAGAUAAGUGCUGAAAGCAUCUAAGCACGAAACUUGCCCCGAGAUGAGUUCUCCCUGAGACUUAAAGUCUCCUGAAGGAACGUUGAAGACGACGACGUUGAUAGGUCGGGUGUGUAAGCGCAGCGAUGCGUUGAGCUAACCGAUACUAAUGAACCGUGAGGCUUAACCUUACAACGCCGAAGGUGUUU